AACGAACGCUGGCGGCAGGCUUAACACAUGCAAGUCGGGCGCCCCGCAAGGGGAGCGGCAGACGGGUGAGUAACGCGUGGGAAUCUACCCAUCUCUACGGAAUAACGCGUGGAAACGUGUGCUAAUACCGUAUACGUCCUUCGGGAGAAAGAUUUAUCGGAGAUGGAUGAGCCCGCGUUGGAUUAGCUAGUUGGUGGGGUAAAGGCCUACCAAGGCGACGAUCCAUAGCUGGUCUGAGAGGAUGAUCAGCCACACUGGGACUGAGACACGGCCCAGACUCCUACGGGAGGCAGCAGUGGGGAAUAUUGGACAAUGGGCGCAAGCCUGAUCCAGCCAUGCCGCGUGAGUGAUGAAGGCCCUAGGGUUGUAAAGCUCUUUCACCGGUGAAGAUAAUGACGGUAACCGGAGAAGAAGCCCCGGCUAACUUCGUGCCAGCAGCCGCCGCGGUAA
rnacentral:rRNA from 1 species